rnacentral:misc_RNA from 1 species
GGGAAACCCAGCCCGACCCAACUCAAACCUCUAGGCAUAGCUAGCGCCCACUCUCCAGCCUCCAGUGAAAGAAAAAGAAAAAGGUUUGAGAGAGACCGAGAAAGAUUAGAUGGGGUCCAUGGCGAAAGAGAGAAUUUGCACAAUUAUCGUCACAGUGGCGUUAGAAUGACAGUCACUGCCAAGUGCCACCAAUCGGAACAUGUAAAAAGAGGGAGGAAAGUAUCAUAAAACCCCACCUACGCACGCCUUGUAUCUUCGCUACACGCAACCGCAACCUACGGCCGCCCUGACCUCGAAGAUCGGGAGCUGCUCCUUCGCCCCCUCUCCGCACGUAAUUCUCUGCCUUGCUCGACCCAAAAAGAGAAAUAAAAAGGGAAAAACUUUGUAUAAAAAGAGAACAAACUCCGAUCCUCACUGCAUUUUCCCUUUAUUUAUUAUCUCUCUGCCAGCUUAUGGAUUUCAGGUUUAGCCUUAGAAUGUAAAGGAUAUGGAGCGCUUAAUGUUACCCUAGUUGACAAAACUGGCUGAGCAGUGAGCAGGUCCCUUCAAGGACAUGUGUAAAUAGUUGCCUACAACUGACCUGGUAGAUGACCGCGUUAUUCUGUUCCUGAUGGGGUGUACAUAAAUCGAUUCCAUGAUUUUGAGUACCACCUUCUUACGCACAUUUUGUUUAACUGUUUUCUGGCGAAUCAUAUUGGGAAAACAGAUAUGAAUACUUAUCAGGAUGUUUAAAAUCUCUUUUUAUUUAGCCUAUUUUCUACCUUGUUCAGUAUUUUCUACCUUGUAAAUCAAGAAUUGUUUCACAAUCCUUGUGUCACACUGCGUCAUCUUUGAAAGUCAUUUGUGCAUUAUUCCUAGAUAUCAUUUAUUAGCCUUUAAU